UACAGAGGUCUCAAGCGUUGCUCGGAAUCACUGGGCGUAAAGGGUGCGUAGGCGGGUCUUUAAGUCAGGGGGGAAAUCCUGGAGCUCAACUCCAGAACUGCCUUUGAUACUGAAGAUCUUGAGUUCGGGAGAGGUGAGUGGAACUGCGAGUGUAGAGGUGAAAUUCGUAGAUAUUCGCAAGAACACCAGUGGCGAAGGCGGCUCACUGGCCCGAUACUGACGCUGAGGCACGAAAGCGUGGGGAGCAAACAGG
rnacentral:rRNA from 1 species